rnacentral:tRNA from 1 species
GCCGCGAUCGCAUAACCUGGUAUUGCGCAGGUCUUGAAAACCUGUUUCCGAAAGGAUAUCUCGGUUCAAAUCCGAGUCGCGGCG